rnacentral:rRNA from 1 species
UACGUAGGGGGCAAGCGUUGUCCGGAUUUAUUGGGCGUAAAGAGCGUGUAGGCGGCCAUACAGGUCCGUUGUGAAACUGGAGGCUUAACCUCCAGACGUCGAUGGAAACCGUAUGGGCUAGAGUCCGGAAGAGGAGAGUGGAAUUCCUGGUGUAGCGGUGGAAAUGCGCAGAUAUCAGGAGGAACACCGGUGGCGAAGGCGGCCUGCUGGGCCGUUACCUGACGCUGAGGAGCGAAAGCGUGGGGUAGCGAACAGGG